GGGUAAAUAUAUACUCAGUAUAACAGAAAUUUCUUACUCUGUUGAUUAUAUCAAGAUCUUAAUUUUUAAAAGUAAUUUUAUAGAGAAUUUCUUGCUGUGCGUGCUUGCUUUAGUCAUGUUUGCUGGUUUCUCCUCCUAAUUUACCUUCUUUAGUGCAGUAUAUCAAGUGGUGUUAGUCUUACACUCAUAGAACCGGUGCAGCUGUCAUAUUUACCUUCUUUAGUGCAGUAUAUCAAGUGGUGUUAGUCUUACACUCAUAGAACCGGUGCAGCUGUCAUAUUUUGAUCGCGAUAUGUUACGUGGCUACCCCGAUGACUUUGAGCGGUAUGUUUUUAUGCCAUAUGGUAUCUGCUUUUGUUUUGAUUCUAUUUUGAAUACCGUUGAUCAUUAGCUCUAGCAUUUUCAGAAGCUCAACUUCUGAUAUAUUUGUGCCAUGCUGUUUAUCUGUUGUAUGUGACACACAAAUGAUAUGUGCUUACUGCAUGUUUUAACACAUGAUCCUCCAUUCCCCCUUUAAGUUGAUUGUAUCUAUUAGACCCUUGCUUUGAUACCUUGUUUGGUACAUAACAAUUCAUGUGUUGUAUUGAGCUAGAAACAGCUGUAUGUAAUCGACAAAAGGGUUAUUUAGGCCUGAAACAAACUGAUCGGUUAUAUAGACCAUAACUAGCAUAUUUGACUACAUUUAACAUCUAUGAAUACAUUGUUACAG
rnacentral:lncRNA from 1 species